rnacentral:rRNA from 1 species
CCUACGGGAGGCAGCAGUGGGGAAUAUUGCACAAUGGGGGAAACCCUGAUGCAGCGACGCCGCGUGAGUGAAGAAGUAUUUCGGUAUGUAAAGCUCUAUCAGCAGGGAAGAAAAUGACGGUAACUGACUAAGAAGCACCUGCUAACUACGUGCCAGCAGCCGCGGUAAUACGUAGGGGGCAAGCGUUCUCCGGAUUUACUGGGUGUAAAGGGAGCGUAGACGGCAGAACAAGUCUGGAGUGAAAUGCCGGGGCUUAACCCCGGAACUGCUUUGGAAACUGUGCAGCUAGAGUGCAGGAGAGGUAAGUGGAAUUCCAAGUGUAGCGGUGAAAUGCGUAGAUAUAAGGAGGAACACCAGUGGCGAAGGCGGCUUACUGGACUGUAACUGACGUUGAGGCUCGAAAGCGUGGGGAGCAAACAGGAUUAGAUACCCGUGUAGUC